GCCGGGGCGUCGCGUGAGGAGCGGGGGCGCCGCGGCGGGAGGCGGCUGCCAGCACGUCCCGCGUCGCCGCCCUCACCCGCGCUGCUGAGCCGUGCUGCAGGCCUCAGAUUCGUUAAAAUCGAGCCCAGAAAAUGGUCUUUUUUGAGCAAAGACGGCGAGCUGCGGAGCGAGCUGGGCAGCUGUUCCGAUACAGCGACAUGUCCCGUAGGGAGUGCUGAUGACAAAAGCGUCUUGAUGUGUAUUUUGAUGGAACAUCUCAAUGAAUCAUUACUGGAUUUCCUGGAAUCUGGAUUGCUUAUUAUCCUGAACAAUUCUUCUUCGAGUAACAGGAUCAUUUGGCUUUCAAGACUGUGGGCUGAAUUCAUCAUGACUGUAACCCAUCAGUGCUUCAUAGGAUUACUUGGUCUCACAGGAAUAAGUAAGACAGAGAAUGUGAGCUCUGAGAAUGCAAAUACAUGGACAAAGCAUGUCUUUGGAACAGGGUGAGGAAUGCAGAUGAGUAUACUAGAAGGCGGACACUGAACAAUGAAUGACACUGGGAAAAUGCUAUGGUUUAACACAAGUCCACUCUCAACCAGGAGGCAAAGAGGUUGCUGACAGAUUCAUCUCAGAACCUUUGCAAAAGAGUUUCAAGCAAAGUGGAAGUACAUGCGAACUGUUUAAUAACUGCGUUGAAGAAAUACUGGUGGCUACAGAGGUGAAGGAGUCCAAGAACAAGAGGAAAACACAUGCUUUGAAAUGAACUGAAGGACUGAUCUGCAACCAUAGCAGCUGGUGGAGAUUAUUAGCAUGGAAAUGUUAUGUUUAGCACAGAUAUUGAAUCUCACAUACUAACAAAAAAUAGGUACCUGCCCUGUUAUUAGCUUAAUUUACAAAGACUUUAUAAUGCUUUGCAGAGCUAUACUGCUUUUCAUUGGAGACUAUUCACCACUCAGGGCACUUUACAGCUGUUACUAACAUCUCUUUACAAGUGGACAUCCUUGUCACACACUUACAAGUGAGGCAGUGAAAUUUGGGGAUAAUUUUGAGGAAUUCAAAUGAUUCUUAUGGAAAUUGGAUAAAACUAAGAAAUUGGAUGGAUGAAAUGGGUCAAAAACAUUAGUUAUUCUUAAGGCUGAAAUACGAAACACUGAAGUUACUCAACUUGUAAUGUAGAUAGUCUGUCAGAUUACAAGUCAAAGCUGUGGCAGGGUCUGAACUUAAUUUUUCAGCCCUUAGUGAUUUCUGUUUCCUCACUGCACUUGUUUCUGUUGUGGAAUACCAAAGGGUCCUGUAUAAUCUAUACAUGAACAACUGCGCCACCUGCUCACAUUGCUUAGCUGCAAAAAUGACUUCGCAGUAUUAGUGGUCAGCAUUGUACUAAAAUUGCUUUUCCCCUAACAAUCAGUACCAUUCACCUUAUUUCCUUCAUUCCUCUUGGUGGUCCCAUGUUGCAAUGAAGUGUUAUGCCACUUUCCUGAGAACAGUCACAAAGCUGAGGUGAACAUGUUGGCUGUAAUCAGUGCUUUGUACUUGGGAAACAAAGUAUUCCUUGGCUAUAAAAUCAACCAUAUGUAUAAGUGGUCUUUUUUUAAUGCCUGGCAGUUGUCCCAAGUCAUCACCUGCUUUUCCCUUAGCCAGGAGGAAUGAUAAAGAUCACACAGCUGGCAAGUCAACGGCUAUUAGUUUGGCUCCACUGUCUGGCUAGCAGGACAUGAUUAUACCUGCUACCAAUAAAUGCUUUCAAAUAUUCCAGGCAAGAGACAUGCCAGUUCCAUCUCAUUUACACUUUCAAAAUCUUUCAUCUCAAAGGACUGGCUAGGUGAUUAUUAUAUUUUUUUCUGCCUAGUAACUUAAGCUGUUUACUUCACGGAUAGUAUUUUUCGUCCCUAAAAAAAAGAGCCAGAUUCAGUCACUGAAGGUAGACUUCUUCUGUGAUUACACUUGGUGCCUGCAGGCUUUGGCCCUUAUUGUUGGGUUUGUGUUGUCAUUUACCCAGGUCUGCUGAUGUAUAGGAAAUGAAAUUCCAGUAACAACAGCCACUUGGGGUGUAUUUCCUCCCCACUACUACCUAGAGGUGCUGUAAGCAAUUGUCCUACAUUGCCAACCAUGAUGGAAAGUGGGCACAUGAGGAGAAAGGAGAAGCAUAUGCUAUACUCUGUUUUGGGGUAACAAGAAGUUUUUCUGUUGGAAACAUAAUAGAUGUGCCAAAUAUUAUCAUUGCCAUUAACAAAAAGGGCUGCACUGGUAUAGUCAUCUGUGUUUUAAUGCCUGGUGAUCGUGAAAGCAAAGGAAUGCCCCUCUGUCCACAAUAAGAAGCAAUCCCUGAAUCAUAACCUUCAGUAAAUGUUGUGCAAGGAAGCAAUGCAAAGGACUUUCUUAUCCUAUGCAUGUUAAGAACAAAGUUUCUUGGCAAUAAAUGAAGGGUUUAGAGAGAGUCAUGUUAUUUGCCUCAUGAAUUCUUUUGUGCGCAUGGAAAGCUGGUAUAAAACACCAGAAGGAGAGUAUGUUAGUCAUUGCAUUGCAGAAGCUUUGUUCAGUACUGGAAACAGAUGCCAAGUCCUGUGGCUCCUAAUUCAGUGUCUAACCAUAAGACUUCCCAUCUUCAUCUAACUGAAGAUGCUUGCUCAUCACUUUUAAAAAAGAUGCUAUUCUAAUCCUUUUUCUUCAUA